rnacentral:rRNA from 1 species
UACGUAGGUGGCAAGCGUUGUCCGGAAUUACUGGGUGUAAAGGGUGCGUAGGCGGGGAUGCAAGUCAGAUGUGAAAUCUAUCGGCUCAACUGGUAAACUGCAUUUGAAACUGCAUUUCUUGAGUGGUGGAGAGGUAAGCGGAAUUCCUAGUGUAGCGGUGAAAUGCGUAGAUAUUAGGAGGAACACCAGUGGCGAAGGCGGCUUACUGGACACUAACUGACGCUGAGGCACGAAAGCAUGGGGAGCAAAC